AACGAACGCUGGCGGCAUGCCUAACACAUGCAAGUCGAACGGGAUCCAGGCUUCGGCCUGGUGAGAGUGGCGGACGGGUGAGUAACGCGUGGGAACCUGCCCAAUGGUCUGGGAUAACCGCGGGAAACUGCGGCUAAUACCGGAUAAGCCCGAGAGGGGAAAGAUUUAUCGCCGAUGGAGGGGCCCGCGUCCGAUAAGGUAGUUGGUGAGGUAACGGCUCACCAAGCCGACGAUCGGUAGCUGGUCUGAGAGGAUGAUCAGCCACACUGGGACUGAGAUACGGCCCAGACUCCUACGGGAGGCAGCAGUGGGGAAUAUUGGACAAUGGGGGCAACCCUGAUCCAGCAAUGCCGCGUGAGUGAUGAAGGCCUUAGGGUUGUAAAGCUCUUUUGCCAGGGACGAUGAUGACGGUACCUGGAGAAUAAGCCCCGGCUAACUUCGUGCCAGCAGCCGCGGUAAUACGAAGGGGGCGAGCGUUGUUCGGAAUUACUGGGCGUAAAGGGCGCGUAGGCGGCGACUCAAGUUAGAUGUGAAAGUCCUGGACUUAACCUGGGGACUGCAUUUGAUACCGGGUUGCUUGAAUUCGGGAGAGGAUAGCGGAAUUCCCAGUGUAGAGGUGAAAUUCGUAGAUAUUGGGAAGAACACCGGUGGCGAAGGCGGCUAUCUGGACCGACAUUGACGCUGAGGCGCGAAAGCGU
rnacentral:rRNA from 1 species